UGGAGAAUAUUGCACAAUGGGCGAAAGCCUGAUGCAGCGACGCCGCGUGAGCGAAGAAGUAUUUCGGUAUGUAAAGCUCUAUCAGCAGGGAAGAAAAUGACGGUACCUGACUAAGAAGCCCCGGCUAACUACGUGCC
rnacentral:rRNA from 1 species